rnacentral:rRNA from 1 species
UGGGGAAUAUUGGACAAUGGGGGGAACCCUGAUCCAGCCAUGCCGCGUGUGUGAAGAAGGCCUUAUGGUUGUAAAGCACUUUAAGCGAGGAGGAGGGUACUGGUAUUAAUACUACCAGGUACUGGACGUUACUCGCAGAAUAAGCACCGGCUAACUCUGUGCCAGCAGCCGCGGUAAUACAGAGGGUGCGAGCGUUAAUCGGAUUUACUGGGCGUAAAGCGUGCGUAGGCGGCUAAUUGAGUCGGAUGUGAAAUCCCCGAGCUUAACUUGGGAAUUGCAUUCGAUACUGGUUAGCUAGAGUGUGGGAGAGGAUGGUAGAAUUCCAGGUGUAGCGGUGAAAUGCGUAGAGAUCUGGAGGAAUACCGAUGGCGAAGGCAGCCAUCUGGCCUAACACUGACGCUGAGGUACAAAAGCAUGGGGAGCAAACAGG